rnacentral:rRNA from 1 species
AGGAUGAACGCUGGCGGUCUGCUUAACACAUGCAAGUCGAACGGAGUACCUCGGUACUUAGUGGCGGACGGGUGAGUAACGCGUGAGAAUCUGCCCUUAGGUCGGGGACAACCAUUGGAAACGAUGGCUAAUACCGGAUAAGCCGAGAGGUAAAAGAUUAAUUGCCUAGGGAAGAGCUCGCGUCUGAUUAGCUAGUUGGUGAGGUAAAGGCUCACCAAGGCAUCGAUCAGUAGCUGGUCUGAGAGGAUGAUCAGCCACACUGGGACUGAGACACGGCCCAGACUCCUACGGGAGGCAGCAGUGGGAAUUUCGGCAAUGGACGCAAGUCUGACCGAGCGACGCCGCGUGCAGGAUGAAGCCUUUCGGGUGUAAACUGCUUUUAGCAGGGAAGAUGAUGACGGUACCUGUUGAAUAAGCAUCGGCUAACUACGUGCCAGCAGCCGC